AAGAAAGGUUAACACAAAGAUAUCAAUUAAUUGGAGAAGUUUCAAAAAGAGAUUGUACAGGCAGUCACUUUUAUGGAAAAGAGACGUAUAUGCAGCUAUCUCAUCCUUAAAGAUUAUGCAUACACAACAAUAUGGUGGAGCAGCAACGUGUUGUGCUUGUUGUCGAGUUGUUGUAGUCUCUUGUUGCUUGGAUGCUCGGGGAAUAGCGGACUAGUUCUAUCUUGGUUAAGGUUGUAGCGCUAGACGGGCUGUGAGGUUGGAUUGUCGAAAAAGCCUGCAAGAUAGUUAUGUGAUGAUUGGGAUGGAAUACAUAACGUGUACGGCACCUAUUGUGCAACCACUGAUCAGUUGGGUAUUCACACCAAGUAGAAUACCCAACUCCUAUUAUGGCCGGAUACGUUUCACAUCGGGUCCUAUUAUGGCCGGUACGUUUCACACCGAG